rnacentral:tRNA from 1 species
GCCGUUGUAGCUCAGUCGGCAGAGCGGCGCUUUCGUAAAGCGUAGGUCACCGGUUCAAACCCGGUCAACGGCUCCA